AAAAACAUCGCCUCUUGCAAAACAACAUAUAAGAGGUCCCGCCUGCCCUGUGAUAAUAAAUUUAACGGCCGCGGUAUUUUGACCGUGCGAAGGUAGCGAAAUCACUUGUCUUUUAAAUGAAGACCUGUAUGAAUGGCACGACGAGGGCUUAACUGUCUCCUUUUUCAAGUCAAUGAAAUUGAUCUCCCCGUGCAGAAGCGGGGAUAAAAACAUAAGACGAGAAGACCCUAUGGAGCUUUAGACACCAGAAUAGACCAUGUUAAACACCCCUAGAAAACGGGCUAAACCAAAUGAGACCUAUUCCAAUGUCUUUGGUUGGGGCGACCGCGGGGAAACAAAAAACCCCCACGUGGAAUGGGAGUACUACUCCUAAAACUAAGAGCUCCCGCUCUAGAAAACAGAAUUUCUGACCAAUAAGAUCCGGCAGCGCCGAUCAACGAACCGAGUUACCCUAGGGAUAACAGCGCAAUCCCCUUUUAGAGCCCAUAUCGACAAGGGGGUUUACGACCUCGAUGUUGGAUCAGGACAUCCUAAUGGUGCAGCCGCUAUUAAGGGUUCGUUUGUUCAACGAUUAAAGUCCUACGUGAUCUGAG
rnacentral:rRNA from 1 species